GCGGGGACGGAGGGCGCUUCCGCUUCCGGGUUCCCCAGUUCGGGCGGCGAUGGCGGCGGCCUCCUCUUCCUCCUCCUCCUCCUCCGCGGCGGCGGCGGGGGGCUCCGGGUGCCGGGCGGAGCCGGAGGACGCAGCGGCGCUGCCCGCGGGCCCCGGCUGGAGCGAGGCGCAGUUCCGGCCCUACACGUUCGGGACGCGGCCCAUCCCGCGCCUCAGCCACGGCGACCCGCGCGCCGAGGAGCUCAUCGAGAACGAGGAGCCAGUGGUGCUGACUGACACGAACCUGGUAUAUCCCGCCCUGAAGUGGGACCUGGAUUACCUCCAGGAGAACAUUGGCAAUGGAGACUUCUCAGUGUAUAGUGCCAGCACACACAAGUUUUUGUAUUAUGAUGAGAAGAAAAUGGCCAAUUUCAAGAACUUCAAGCCCAAGUCGAGCAGGGAAGAGAUGAAGUUCACUGAGUUUGUUGAAAGACUCAAGGAAGUUCAGCAGAAAGGGAGUGGUGAGAAGUUGUAUUUGCAGCAGACACUGAAUGAUACAGUUGGAAGGAAGAUUGUGAUGGAUUUCUUAGGCUUUAAUUGGAACUGGAUUAACAAGCAGCAGGGGAAGCGUGGGUGGGGGCAGUUGACCUCCAAUUUACUGCUUAUUGGCAUGGAAGGGAACGUGACACCAGCUCACUAUGAUGAGCAGCAGAACUUCUUUGCUCAGAUCAAGGGCUACAAGCGGUGUAUCCUGUUCCCUCCAGAUCAGUUUGAGUGCCUCUACCCCUACCCUGUGCACCAUCCAUGUGACAGGCAGAGCCAGGUGGACUUUGACAAUCCUGAUUAUGAGAAAUUCCCUAAUUUCCAAAACGUGGUUGGCUAUGAGACAGUGGUGGGCCCGGGUGAUGUUCUCUACAUCCCUAUGUACUGGUGGCAUCACAUCGAGUCUCUGCUGAAUGGGGGAAUUACUAUCACUGUGAAUUUCUGGUACAAGGGUGCCCCUACUCCAAAGAGAAUUGAAUAUCCAUUAAAGGCUCAUCAGAAAGUGGCGAUAAUGAGGAACAUUGAGAAGAUGCUGGGAGAGGCCCUGGGAAACCCACAAGAGGUCUUCAGACAAGGAAAGAGGAGAAGAGGCUUUCGCCAGGAUGAGCACAUGCAAACUGUUUUCAAGAACUGAUAUGCAUAUUUUCAAAACUAAUGGAGGAGAGAGGGAUAAAUAAAAAGAAAAUGAUAAGAAAAGAAGGAGAAACAAGAUAGAAAAAAUACAGGUGAAAACAUUAAGGGAAAGAAACAAUGAAAACUUUUGAGACAAACAAAAAAGAUACUUCCAUUUGGAGCUAUGUUAAAUCCUCCCCUCCACUCAUAUUGAAUGCUGAAGCUUCUGACUGAGAGAACACAGCGUCCAUUUGUGAAAGAAGCUAACAAAUGGAAGAGGAGUCCAUCUGCAAAAUCAGAACACAUUUGGACUGCUAGAGAGAGAAAGCUGAAAAACCCCCAUGGAUAUAGAGAAUGGAGAACAAUAGUGAGGAGGCCAUUGUGAGACAGAGAAGAGGCGUGUGAGUGGUACGUGGUUGGGUCACCAGGUCAGAGAUGUAUCUCAUUUAGGCCUUGUCCACACACAAAGGUUUUACUGUUAUAGUAGUACUGGCAUAGUUAAAGCAAUACUAUCCCCUCAUUGGGGGUGGGGGGGGAUGCACUCUUAACUGUAGAAGCAGGGCUUAUAGUAUUAUAGCUUGCUCACUACCGGAAGGCAGCAAUUUUCACUAGGUAUGAGGUGCCUAUGUACUAAUAUAACUGCCUUCACACAGGGGAACCGUUUACAUUGAUAUAACUAUCAGGAUUUCUAAAUAUACUUAGUGCUACAAAACAGCUGUAUGCAUACUAGCCCCAAUUACAGACACACACAAGCAUGAAUACACAUUCUCCAUACUGCCAUGCAAGCACAUGUUUAUAUACAUGUAUACAUGAAUGAAAAUGUUUUGGCAUUUCCGAUUUUCUUUUUUGUUUGCCCACUUUUCUUUUUUACCCACCCAACUUUUGAAAAUCUCUACUACUUUUCCAAACUUCCUCAGUUCUUGAAAAGGAAGGAAUAUGAAAAGUAAAAAAGUUAAUAUCUAGUCAAAUGGAGAAAUAAUCCAUCCCAUUGUAACGAGCAAGAAUGAAUUGAAGCAAAAGGAAAAUAACCACUGUCCUAAAAAAAAUGCCCAGAUAUUUCGAAUGUUUCAAUUUUCCAUUAAAGAAACUGAAAAAAAAUUGAGCAACGUUGAAAUUGCCCUUUGGAGUAUUUUGAUUGUACAGAAACUGUAUUUUCUAUCAAAAUAUUGAUAAAAAGAGAUCGAAAAUUACAGAUUAAUUCAAACCGAAACCUUGGCUCCAUGUAGGUGCUUGUUUCGACUACAAUGUGUCCUCCAGAUGCAGGUAUACUAAGUAGAUAUAAGACACGGUCAUGAGAUUCUGUAGCUUUGGACAGCAGCUGACAUACCUGCCCAUGUUCACCUAU